GACUUAGCUCAGUUGGUAGAGCACGAGAUUCUUCAUUUCAGAGUCGUGGGUUCGAGCCCCAUGUUGGGCA